GGCACUUAGUCUGCAUACCGCUCACUGGCAAAGAAUAUCCUGCUAGUAGGAUGCGAAGUGUCCAAAAAGAUUCAACUUGGACUGGAAUCUACACCAUUAGCUGUCCUGUUUCUGAAGCCUUUGGGGUUGGACUGGAACUAUGCCAUCUGCCGCCUUGCUGGAUGUUCAGUUUGCCCGCUGCAAAUCCUGAGAUUUCUCAGCCUCCACAGUCAUCCUUCAGAUGGGAUCCUCUGUGUGGUGAAUGUUGUGGCGGGCCACCAAAAGACCCCUACAGGAAUGGAGAGUUGAUUUCCCCGUCUGCUGGGCAUCCUUUGGGAAGAUGACCUUUGCUCACAUUGACUUUGGGUGGCUCCAGCUAAAGAAAACUGCCUAACUCAGAUUACAGGUUUUCCAGGGGCAGGCCAUGUCCAAUAACUGGUCACCCAGAAGGUGAGACGCCCUUAUCACCAUUGUGAAGAACUCUUAAGAACUGUCCAGCUUCGAGCUCUCCAUAGGUGAGCUGAGUCUUUCUUUGUGACUGCAUUACAGUUUGCCUUCUACCUCUGUCCAAUGCUGGUUUCAUCCUCUCCCCUACACAUGAAGGUUUGAACUCCAAGCCUACCCCCACAUAAACAUCUUGAAUGCUCAAGAUCUCCACUGAAAAUCAGCCUAACAAGAAACUCAACCUACUCUACCCAGUCCAUUUGCUGCAGCACAAACAUAACCCUUUAGAGCUCUUGGCUUUUGACUCUGUAAGUAAACUUUUUAAUAAAGAAAUACUUAUACAAGUGAACAAAUUGUAAUGAUGCAGCUCAAUGACUUCUCAUGAAGCUCACAUUUCAUUAUAACAAUACUCAGAAGAGGAAACAGAACAUUAAUGGAUCCCCAGGAACACUUUCUGGGCCCUACUCCUCUCUAAAGAAGUGGCUAUUAUGACUUCUACAUAAUAAAUCAUUCUGUCUGUUUUUGAACUUGAUGUAAGUAGAAUCUUACAAUUUGUGCGCUAUUUAUUAUAUGGCUUCUUUCACUCCACAUUAGGCUCAUGAGAUCCAUCUAUGUUGUUAUACAUAGUUUAGUUCUUUCAAGGCAAUACAAUAUUCAAUUACGUGACUAUGUCAUACAUUAUUCAUCAACCUCUGGACAUUUUUCCCCUCAAUUUUGGCUACUAUGGAUAGUGCUGCAAAUAAUAUAAUUGUAAUGUAAUAUAAUAUAAUUGUAAUGUCUUUUGGUGAACAUAUGUAUACAUUCUUUUGAAUAUCCUUUUGUCCUAAGAGAAUUGCUAGAUCAUAAGACAUGCAUAUUUUCAGCUUUAUGGAUGGCACCAGUUUUCCAAAGUGGUUAAGCCAAUUUAUGUGUUUACUAGUAGUAUGUGAGACACCUGGUGGUUUUUACUUGCUUGCAAACAGUUGAUAUGUUUUACUUUUUAUGUUGUUUUAUUUUUAUUUUUUUAAAGCCUUUCCAGUGGAUGUGUGGUACUAUUGCAUUACAAUUUUAAUGUGUAUUGUACCAACAGCCAUGAAGCUGAACAUAUUUUAAUGCACUAACUGGAUUUUAGAUAUCUUAUUUCCUGAAAAACCUAUGCAGAAUUUUUAUUUAUUAUUUUAAAAUUAUGUGACUGUCCUUUUCUGAUUGAUUUUUAAGAGACAUAUAUUCUCCACGUAAGUCAUUGUUGAAUGUGUCUAAAAUAUCUUUUCCCACUCUGUGGCUUACAAUUUUAUCAGUGCUAACUGUCGAUGAGUAGAAUUUUUAACUUUAAUGUAAUCCAAUUUUGUUUUUGCUAUUAUGGUUGGUAUUUUUUGUGUUCUACUUAAGAAAAUGUUGCCAUGGGAUAUGAAGAACAUAAAGAUAUUCUCC
rnacentral:lncRNA from 1 species